rnacentral:rRNA from 1 species
UACGGAGGAUCCAAGCGUUAUCCGGAAUCAUUGGGUUUAAAGGGUUCGUAGGCGGUUUAGUAAGUCAGUGGUGAAAGCCCAUCGCUCAACGGUGGAACGGCCAUUGAUACUGCUAAACUUGAAUUAUUAGGAAGUAACUAGAAUAUGUAGUGUAGCGGUGAAAUGCUUAGAGAUUACAUGGAAUACCAAUUGCGAAGGCAGGUUACUACUAAUGGAUUGACGCUGAUGGACGAAAGCGUGGGGAGCAAAAGGG